rnacentral:lncRNA from 1 species
UCAGGUCCUUCAAGAAAAAAUGCAGAACAAGAAAUAGCAGUCAGAGUUCAGUCCUCAGUUUCCCCUUUUCUGAGGUCUGCGUGCCAGCAGAUCCAUUUGGUAGAGGUCUGGGUUUCUGAAAAAUAACUCAGGAACAUAUGUUAAGAUGUAUCUUCAGUUUCUAUAGGGAACCAAACAUCUCAUGGCUCUAAUUUUAUUGCUAUUGUUUUAUGGUAUGAUUACCUUUUUACUUAUGAAGUUGCUCAUUAAUUUCUCAGGGAUAGCUAGGUGCCUGCAAUUUUCCUUAAAGGAACUCAAGAUUUUUAUUUCCACACUGUGGAGGAGGGGUGGCGUGGCAAGCCCCUAAGAGGGAAUCCUCCUCCAUCUCACCCAGGCUAAACAGAGACAGAACAUUCAGACAGACCAGUGGGGCAGGGGAAUCUGCCGCACAUCCGCUGACAUACACAGAUGUAUACGGUAUUUUCAAGUCUGAUGAGAAAUGGUUUGGGUAUAUGUCAUUCCCCAGCACAGGCACCAAUAUCUUCCCAAGUAGUUUCCUUCCACUUUUACUAGUGCCUUCUCCCUGCCGUCCCCUCCAGGGUUCCUGCCGUUUCAUGCCAAUAAUUUAAUUACUCUCUUUGCAGAGGCUCAGUUCUACAGACAGCCUAAUUUGAGGUUUGCCUUACUCUUAAAUAUAUAUAUCGUUUCAAUGGAUUUAUGAAAGGGAGAAAAGAGUGCAGAAACAAUUAAGGCAUCAAAGACAAGCUCAUCCAAGCUCCCAAGGACAAAAAAAAAAAAAAAAAAAAAAAAAGAAAAAAAUGAAGGACCCAGCCAAGGACCUCCUCUUCCCUCUGUUCGUGCUCUCUGACAGUGACCAACACCAGGCUUUCUGGUCAAACAGCCUGAGCUCCUGGGCGGAUUUUCCUGGUGUUUUCAGCAGAAGGAACAGCUGUCCCGGGAUUUGCUGGUAUUCCCAGGGAGCUGGAACUGAAUUGUUGGCCAAACUGCAGAUGAUUCGUUUAAGGGUCGGAAUGAGAGACAGACAGGGCUUUCGGAGAUAAAUAAUGAACUCCACGUGGGUACACCAUUGAGCCGUAUCCUCAAGGGUUAACAGCUUAAAGGUUAUUGGGGUUUCUGGCUACACGCUAAGAGUCCUGCUUCCUAAUUGAGUUUCAGGCUGAAGAGAAGAGAGAGACCUGCGGCUGUUUCCGCCCACUCGUCCCAGCACAGCCACCAGAGAACGCCGCGUGGUUUGUUGUUUGGACCCUCCCAGAGCCUCUUCCAGAUGCUGUUGGAAAAAAAGAAAAGAAAAGCUGGGCAGCCAGUGUCACAGCCCAGAUGCCAUCUCGGUCUAUCCGCGGAAAUGCAAGCACGCAGCGCCAAGCCCAACCCAGUAGGUGCCAGGCCCUGGGUGCAGGCUUCAGCUUCACGCCACAUCCUCUCUCUCUUUUCAGUCUCUGAGUGACUUGACUCAGCCAGGGAGAGGAGAUACCUACACAUCCGCAUGAAGGCGCGUGGGAGGAAGCCGAGAAAUGACGGAUGGCGCAGGGCCUACUGCAGCCGCACGUAGACUAGCUCCUUCUUUACGGGCAAAACCCCCUACUUGUCUGCAGUGGGAAAGGAGUCCGUUCAGGGCAAGCUCUGAUCGCUGAGCUAUGGAUGUAGAUGGUAACUAGGCGUCUGGAGGUCAUUACACACCAUAUUCGGAUGGUGGAAAUCAUUGCUUAUUUCAGGACACUAAAAUGGUCCAUUUUUAUGUAUUAAAGUUAUUAAGAAUG